AAAAAGUGUAAAUCCUAUGCUGUGUUCAAAAUGAUGCAGAAGCUGUGUUCCAAUUUGUUUGCAUGUUGCAGUCAGGUCAGAUAGAGUUCUAUUUAACAGGUUUUCAUCAAUAAUCCAUUCACAUAGGGCUGGGGCUCUGCCCAAAACUAAUGCAAGCAUAAAAGGAAUUUGUCCAAGAUGAGAAAACUUACACUGCGAUUUAAAGUGUGAUUUGGGAGACUUUUGAGGGCCUGUAUUAAUUCAUUUCAGGUUGAAAAAUAAAACUUCAGAGACAUUUCUCCCUGCAGGAUUGUAAAAAAAUUACAGCGCAGGCAGAGAAGACUUAAAGAGCCAGGAUGAGGAAGUCAGUACAGGUGGGGAUCGGUAACAGUGGGAAGAGGCCACAAGAAACAGUCCCCUUCGGGCCAUCUGGACCAAGCUGAGUACUAGAGGAGCUGGUUGGAAACAAUCCAAGCGGUCUUGUCCUGUAAGAACAGCUCUGAAACGGACACCACUAGAGAAAUUUCACUUCGGAGGUAACACACGCACUGCUCUUAGGCCCUCACUCUCCUCGAAGGGUGCCAGAGUAUCAGUUCCCUUCUCUCAGCGUCAGCACGGCGACUUUUGCACCUUCCCGGCAUGCCCCGCACCUUCCCGGCAUGCCCCACCGCGGCUCGCACAGCAAGAUCUCUUUGGUUUGGGAAGUGGGCUUGUGUGUGGUAACAAGACUAUUUCAAGGAGAGAGUUACCCAGUCUUUUUAUGAGAAAUCUCUAUUGAAUGUUUCUGAACUUAUGAGGAGCCAUUUAUGUAAAACCAGAAGAGUCUACACUCCCAGAAAGAAGACUGCGCAAGCAGAGGCCCCCAGAAAUGGUAGAACUGCUACUAACACGUCACACGCUGAGUCCUAAUAGCAUUCUAGCUCUUCCAUAUUUUGGAAAUUAUAAAGCAUUUCAAAUUUACACAAAAAUAUAGAGAGUUAUUUAGCAAACAUUUGUUUACCUACUACCCAGAUUCAACAGAUGUUAACAUUUUCGCAUAUUCACUUCACCUCUUUUCUUCAAAAAAAACUUGCAGAUGCAACCAAAGCCCUUUUAGUCGCCCUCCGUUAUUACAUUCCCUUCUGAGCCUUCCCAAGAUAACUGUAGUUUUUAAGAAACCUUUACUUCCAUUCUGUCUCCAUACUUUGCCUGCUAGAAUGAAAGUAUAAUCCCGAUUUUGUAAAUAUAUUGUACACGCACACACACAUACACGGAGCAGAGAGUGAAGAAUGCACAUGAAAAG
rnacentral:lncRNA from 1 species